rnacentral:rRNA from 1 species
AGGGUUCGAUUCUGGCUCAGGAUGAACGCUGGCGGCGUGCUUAACACAUGCAAGUCGAACGGGAAACAUUUUAUUGAAGCUUCGGCAGAUUUAGCUUGUUUCUAGUGGCGGACGGGUGAGUAACGCGUGGGUAACCUGCCUUAUACUGGGGGAUAACAGCCAGAAAUGACUGCUAAUACCGCAUAAGCGCACAGAACCGCAUGGUUCGGUGUGAAAAACUCCGGUGGUAUAAGAUGGACCCGCGUUGGAUUAGCUAGUUGGCAGGGCAGCGGCCUACCAAGGCGACGAUCCAUAGCCGGCCUGAGAGGGUGAACGGCCACAUUGGGACUGAGACACGGCCCAG